UUCUAAAAGAUAAUAAUUUUUAGUAAAACCUGCUCAAUGAUUAUUUUUAAUAGCCGCAGACCAACUGUGCUAAGGUAGCAUAAUAAAUUGCCUUAUAAUUGAAGGCUAGAAUGAAAGGUUUAACAUGUAAAUUUCUUUAUUAUUUAGAUUAUUUAAAUUUAACUUAUAAGUAAAAAGGCUUAUAUGUUUAGAGGGACGACAAGACCCUGACAAACUUUACAAUUUAGUUUUGCUGGGGCGGCAAGAAAAUUAUAACCUUUUUUAUUUUUUAAUAAAUUAACCCGCCAAGGAAUUCUAACCAAGUUACUGCAGGGAUAACAGCAUAAUUAUUUCAAAGAGUCCUUAUUAAAGAAAUAGAUUGUGACCUCGAUGUUGAAUAGAAUAUCUUUUAAGAGCAGCAUCAUAAAAAGAAAGUCUGUUCGACUUUUAAUUUUCUACA
rnacentral:rRNA from 1 species